ACAGAUGAGUUUGUUGUUGUUUUGAGUCGGAUGCAUUUGUCACUGCGGCAGCUCCGCGAAGAGGAUUCAUUCCGCCGCCCCAUACACCCUUGUGGCUGUGCAUCCCGCCCGCGACACACCAUGGCACCUGUGGCCAGUGAGUAAUCGACCCCGAAAGGUAAGCGAGGGCCCCCUCAGUCAGCACGAAAAGAAAGCAGCUCCACUCGUCGUGACGCCCAACCACAACGCCGCUAUCCAGUCCCGUUCGUUUUCGCGUUGGCCCGCGCCAGGUAGAUGUCCGCCGCCCAGAAACAGUCGCACCCGGUCGAGAUGGGACCGAUCGAGCCGCACCAGCGGCUCCAGAAGCUCGUCGCGGACAGCCAGCGGGUGUCGAUCGAUCCGACCAUGCCGAUCAAUCGGUACUACCGCUCCGGCAACCAGAUCGUCGAGACGGCGGACCGUUCGCUGCGCGAGGGUAACCUGGAGAAAGCGUUCACCUUCUAUCUGCGGUUCGUGACGAUCUUCGUCGAGCUGAUACUGGAGCACCCGGGGUACAGGUCGGUGCCGCCGGCGGACAAGCAGCAGACGAAGGAGAAGAUUAAGAAAAUCAUGCCGCGGGCGGAAGAGAUCCGGUCGAAGCUGCUGGAAAAGUACACCACCGAGUAUCGGCUGUACCUGAAGCAGCUCCAGCUGCAGACCGAACAGGAGGAAAGGGAAGGCGAAGCGCGGAAGGUAGCUGCGACGGCGGCAGCGGCAGCAGCAGCAGCAGCGGCGGCAGCCGCAGCGGCCGCAGCGAAAUCGGCGGACCAGCAGCCCACCACGUCGUACGCGCCGAGCGCCCCACCGAGCCACGUGGCCGUCAUCACCGACACGGACGCGAAGCUGAUCGAUCAGGUGCUGUACCCGAGCGACUUUCUGACCGACCGCAGCCAGGCGACCGGACUGCCCAGCACCGGGCUGCUGCUUGCCGGCGAGGACGGCCGCCGGUUCGACCGGGCGCUGAAACCGACCGCACCGACCGGCGCUACAGCGGGCGUCGGGUUCCGGUCGAUCGUCGUGCCGACCGACACGAUGCAAAAGUUUCUCGAGCUGGCCGCCGCCAACACGGCCGCCAACCUGGAAACGUGCGCGAUACUGGCGGGCAGUCUGGUGCAGGCCCGCUUCACCAUUACCCAUGUGAUAUUUCCAAAGCAGAGCGGCACCUCGGACAGCUGCAACACGAUGAACGAGGAGGAGAUUGCGGUCGUGCAGGACCGGCACAAUCUCAUCACGCUCGGGUGGAUACAUACGCACCCGUCGCAGACGGCAUUUCUAUCGUCGGUCGACCUGCACACCCACUGCUCCUACCAGCUGAUGCUGGAGGAAGCGAUCGCGAUCGUCUGCUCGCCAAAGUAUCGAGAAACUGGCUUUUUCAAUCUCACACCGCACGGCAUGGAUUCGAUAUCGCAGUGCCGGCAGACGGGAUUCCAUCCCCAUCCUGCCGGUCAGCCACUGUUUACGGUAAGCGUUGCUUUCGAACUAGUGAUGGGAAAGUUUUCGUCGGAAUCGAUUCCGGAUACAGUAGGUGACCGCUAACUGGAAGUCUUUUAACUGGAGUGAUUUUUAACUGGAGGUUCGCUAACUGGAGUGAUUUUAAGUUAAAAAAAUACGAAACAUCCGGAAUUGCAUGAAGAGAAAUUCAUCGCAAAUGUCCAUGUUUCAAACAAAUUUAGGAUAUUUUGUUUGUUAUUAAUUUACGCCAUCACACGAAUUACUAUCAACAUAAAUGAAAAAAAGUUUGAGAUGUUUAUUCAAGUCAACGCCAACGAAAAUAAUCAAUCCAUAGAAACGUCAGUCCAGUUAGCGAACAUUGUUCACUAACUGGAGUAUGUUAACCUCUCGGUUAGUGAUCACCUAUUUUAGCAGGUCUGGAAUCUUAAUCGGAAUCGGCCCCGGAAUCAGAAUCGGUUCCGGAAUCAGAAUCAGGUCCGGAAUCGAAAUCGGCCCCGGAAUCGGAAAUGACUUCGAAACAGAGUCGGUUUCGACAUCUCCAUAAGAAUAGGCGUUUGGAUCCUAUGUUGCUACGUAUUGAUAGCCUCAAAGAAUCGAAAUUUUCUUGUAAACGAUCCAUCCUCAUGGGAGAUUAUCGGACUAAUUUCGCUUCUGAAACUUCUUAAUUCAAUUCAAGAACUGAUUCUCAUCCCGGAGCUAAUUCCAAUUCUGGAGUCAAUUCUGAUUCCGUUUCCGGAGCAAAUUGUGAUUCUCAGGUCAAUUCUCUAACUCGUUACCCCUCUUCUGCGCUGUGUUUCAGGAAGCUCAGCACAUCGUACUGAGCGACAGCGUGGCGGCCCGAGUGAUUGACUUGCGAUAAAUUAUUAAGUGUACUUAUAUGCUUAAACGGGGGCGAUGGGCUCUACGCACACAACCGGAAGCCGUGUCCGUGAGAGAGAGAAAGAAAAUAAAACGAUGGAAAGAGAGUAGGGACAUAGAGAAGGAGAGUUAAAGGAAAAUAGACAAAAUGCUAGCCGGCAACAAAAAAAAUUAAUUACCAGCUGUGUGUACCAACGCUUAUACUCGUAUCAUUGUUGAUGAAAAUCGCCUGUUUGAGCCCACGCCCUCCCCCAGCUUUGCACAACAACCGUUCACGGCAAGCGUGUUUGGCACAACAAAAAAUAAAAAUAAAAGAAAAACGUGCAGAGGAGCUACGGUUUGGAGCUGCCGGUAAGGCCUCAUAGCGCUCUCCAGCAGGGGGGCCACAAGCAUUUUCAGCAGGAGCCUGUGUGUGGCGGGUAAGGUUUGAGUCAUGUGCGCUUUUUGCGAACCCGUCCCGAACGCGCUUCAUCCUCGACACGGGACACGCACGCCGAAAAUCUCCGACCAUCACCAUCCCAGCACGUGAGCGAGCGUGUUCACCGUAUUGGGCAGGAAGAAAGAUAAGCUUCAGAUGCGAUAGAAAGAAGCAAACAUGAAAAACGCGUGUUAGGGUUAGCAAUAAUGCAAGUUUAAAAUAUAUAUAUAUGUAUGUAUGUAUACAUGUA